GAGUGCGGCUGGAUCACCUCCUUUCUAAGGAGCACCACGAAAAGUAUCUCAAUUCCUGAGAUACAGGCCGUGUGGAGUUCGCGUCUGUAGUGGACGGGAACUGGGUGCGCAACAACAAACAAAACUACUGGACACACUAUUGGGCCCUGAGGCAACAGCCGGUCAAUUUGGGGCUGUUGUCCCCUCCAUCUUGGUGGUGGGGUGUGGUGUUUGAGAAUUGGAUAGUGGUUGCGAGCAUCAAAUGGAUGCGUUGCCCGCGUUGGUAGCGAAUUCAUUUUGUGUAAUUUUGUUCUUUGGUUUUAUUGUGUUUGUAAGUGUCUAAGGGCGCAUGGUGGAUGCCUUGGCAGGAUCCAA
rnacentral:misc_RNA from 1 species